AAUGAACGCUGGCGGCAGGCCUAACACAUGCAAGUCGAGCGAAGUCUUCGGACUUAGCGGCGGACGGGUGAGUAACGCGUGGGAACAUGCCCUUUGGUGCGGAAUAGCCCCGGGAAACUGGGAGUAAUAACGCAUGUGCCCUUCGGGGGAAAGAUUUAUCGCCAAAGGAUUGGCCCGCGUUGGAUUAGGUAGUUGGUGGGGUAAUGGCCUACCAAGCCGACGAUCCAUAGCUGGUGUGAGAGGAUGACCAGCCACACUGGGACUGAGACACGGCCCAGACUCCUACGGGAGGCAGCAGUGGGGAAUCUUAGACAAUGGGCGCAAGCCUGAUCGAGCCAUGCCGCGUGAUCGAUGAAGGCCUUAGGGUUGUAAAGAUCUUUCAGUGGGGAAGAUAAUGACGGUACCCACAGAAGAAGCCCCGGCUAACUCCGUG
rnacentral:rRNA from 1 species